AGGUUAAGUUAACAAGGGCGCAUGGUGAAUGCCUUGGCACUAGGAGCCGAUGAAGGACGGGACUAACACCGAUAUGCUUCGGGGAGCUGUACGUAAGCUAUGAUCCGGAGAUUUCCGAAUGGGGCAACCCAGCAGUUUUAAUCAACUGUUACCACUAGAUGAAUUCAUAGUCUAGUUGGAGGUAAACGCUGUGAACUGAAACAUCUCAUUAGCAGCAGGAAUAUAAAGAAAUUUCGAUUCCCUAAGUAGCGGCGAGCGAACGGGGAACAGCCCAAACCAAAGUGCUUGCACUUUGGGGUUGUAGGACUGAACAUUUGAGUUAUCAAAGAACUUGAUAGUCGAAGGAUUUGGGAAAAUCCGCCAUAGAUGGUGAUAGCCCAGUAGAUUAAAUCAAAUUCUCUCAGUUCAGGAUCCUGAGUACGGCGGAACACGUGAAAUUCCGUCGGAAUCCGGGAGGACCAUCUCCCAAGGCUAAAUACUACCUAGUGACCGAUAGUGAACCAGUACCGUGAGGGAAAGGUGAAAAGCACCCCGGGAGGGGAGUGAAAUAGUUCCUGAAACCAUGUGCCUACAAUAAGUCAGAGCGCGUUAAUGCGUGAUGGCGUGCCUUUUGUAGAAUGAACCGGCGAGUUAUGAUCCCGUGCAAGGUUAAGACUAAAAAGUCGGAGCCGUAGCGAAAGCGAGUCUGAAAUGGGCGUUUUGAGUACGAGGUUAUAGACCCGAAACCAGGUGACCUAUCCAUGUCCAGGUUGAAGGUGCGGUAAAACGCACUGGAGGACCGAACCCGUGUAAGUUGAAAAUUGCUGGGAUGAGGUGUGGAUAGCGGUGAAAUUCCAAACGAACUUGGAGAUAGCUGGUUCUCUCCGAAAUAGCUUUAGGGCUAGCCUCGGAAUUAGGAUCAUGGAGGUAGAGCACUAUUUGGACUAGGGGCCCGUCUUGGGUUACUGAAUUCAGAUAAACUCCGAAUGCCAUUGAUUCAUAUCCGGGAGUCAGACGAUGAGUGAUAAGAUCCACCGUCGAAAGGGGAACAGCCCAGACCAUCAGUUAAGGUCCCUAAAUGUAUGCUAAGUGGAAAAGGAUGUGGAGUUGCAUAGACAACUAGGAUGUUGGCUCAGAAGCAGCCACCAUUUAAAGAGUGCGUAAUAGCUCACUAGUCGAGUGAUCCUGCGCCGAAAAUGUACCGGGGCUAAGCAUACUACCGAAACCAUGGAUGCGACCAUUAGGUCGCGUGAUAGGAGAGCGUUCUAAGGGCGGUGAAGCAAGAUCGUGAGGACUUGUGGAGCGCUUAGAAGUGAGAAUGCCGGUAUGAGUAGCGAAAGAUAGGUGAGAAUCCUAUCCACCGAAUGACUAAGGUUUCCUGGGGAAGGCUCGUCCUCCCAGGGUUAGUCGGGACCUAAGUCGAGGCCGAGAGGCGUAGACGAUGGAUAACAGGUUGAGAUUCCUGUACUAGUUAAGUGCGUUUGAGCAAUGGAGGGACGCAGGAGGCUAAGAUGUGCAUUCUGUUGGAUUAGAAUGUCCAAGCAGUAAGGUCUUGUGAAGAGUCAAAUGCUUUUCACUUUAAGGACAAGCUGUGAUGGGGAGCGAAAUUUAGUAGCGAAGCGUCUGAUGUCACACUGCCGAGAAAAGCUUCUAGUGAGUACUUAACUACCCGUACCGCAAACCGACACAGGUAGUCGAGGAGAGAAUCCUAAGGUGAGCGAGUGAACUCUCGUUAAGGAACUCGGCAAAAUGACCCCGUAACUUCGGGAGAAGGGGUGCUGAUCGCAAGAUCAGCCGCAGUGAAUAGGCCCAGGCGACUGUUUAUCAAAAACACAGGUCUCUGCAAAAUCGUAAGAUGACGUAUAGGGGCUGACGCCUGCCCGGUGCUGGAAGGUUAAAAGGAUGGGUUAGCUUCGGCGAAGCUCAGAAUUGAAGCCCCAGUAAACGGCGGCCGUAACUAUAACGGUCCUAAGGUAGCGAAAUUCCUUGUCGGGUAAGUUCCGACCCGCACGAAAGGCGUAACGAUCUGGGCACUGUCUCAACGAGAGACUCGGUGAAAUUAUAUUGUCCGUGAAGAUGCGGACUACCCGCGACAGGACGGAAAGACCCCAUGGAGCUUUACUGUAGCUUGAUAUUGAGUGUUUGUACAGCUUGUACAGGAUAGGUAGGAGCCAUAGAAACCGGAACGCUAGUUUCGGUGGAGGCGUUGGUGGGAUACUACCCUCGCUGUAUGACCACUCUAACCCGCACCACUAAUCGUGGUGGGAGACAGUGUCAGGUGGGCAGUUUGACUGGGGCGGUCGCCUCCUAAAAAGUAACGGAGGCGCCCAAAGGUUCCCUCAGAAUGGUUGGAAAUCAUUCGCAGAGUGUAAAGGCACAAGGGAGCUUGACUGCGAGACAGACAGGUCGAGCAGGGACGAAAGUCGGGCUUAGUGAUCCGGUGGUACCGUAUGGAAGGGCCAUCGCUCAACGGAUAAAAGCUACCCUGGGGAUAACAGGCUUAUCUCCCCCAAGAGUCCACAUCGACGGGGAGGUUUGGCACCUCGAUGUCGGCUCAUCGCAUCCUGGGGCUGUAGUCGGUCCCAAGGGUUGGGCUGUUCGCCCAUUAAAGCGGUACGCGAGCUGGGUUCAGAACGUCGUGAGACAGUUCGGUCCCUAUCCGUCGCGGGCGUAGGAAAUUUGAGAGGACCUGUCCUUAGUACGAGAGGACCGGGAUGGACAUACCUCUGGUGUACCAGUUGUGCCGCCAGGCGCAUCGCUGGGUAGCUACGUAUGGAUGUGAUAAACGCUGAAAGCAUCUAAGUGUGAAACACACCUCGAGAUGAGAUUUCCCAUUCCUUUAUGGAAGUAAGACCCCUGAAAGAUGAUCAGGUAGAUAGGUUAGAAGUGGCAGUGCGGUGACGCAUGAAGCGGACUAAUACUAAUCGGUCGAGGACUUAACCAAG
rnacentral:rRNA from 2 species